AAAUCUCCUGCCUUGUCAAUCAACUGUAGAAUCACAUCCACAUACCAAGACAAAUCAGGGGCGAACUUCUCUGCAAGAAUAGCAGCUUUAAGAGACAAUUCUUCUCGCAUUGCAAAAUCUGCCGUACUUAGAUACUGCAACAAUUCUUCCACUAUGUCCUUUGCAUUUGAAAUAUCACACAUACCGUAGAGCAAAUCAAGGGCACGCCGACGAAUGCUGAUAUCAGGAUCUUUCAGUGAGGUGAUGAUCUGAGCCUGGUGUCUUUUGAUACUAUCUUGCACAUCUGUGACCAUCAACAUCCGAGUCAUAUUCUCCAAGCCAAGAUAUCGGAUAUUUGGUUCACGAACAGCAAUAAAUUUUCCAAGAAGUGCAACACAUUGGGACAUCAUCUCCUUUUCAGCAUCAAGAUG
rnacentral:misc_RNA from 1 species